GACGAACGCUGGCGGCGUGCUUAACACAUGCAAGUCGAACGGAAAGGCCCUGCUUUUGUGGGGUGCUCGAGUGGCGAAAGGGUGAGUAACACGUGAGUAACCUGCCCUUGACUUUGGGAUAACUUCAGGAAACUGGGGCUAAUACCGGAUAGGAGCUCCUGCUGCAUGGUGGGGGGUGGAAAGUUUCGGCGGUUGGGGAUGGACUCGCGGCUUAUCAGCUUGUUGGUGGGGUAGUGGCUUACCAAGUCUUUGACGGGUAGCCGGCCUGGGAGGGUGACUGGCCACAUUGGGACUGAGAUACGGCCCAGAGUCCUACGGGAGACAACAGUGGGGAAUAUUGCACAGUGGGCGGAAGCCUGAUACAGCAACGCCGCGUGCGGGAUGACGGCCUUCGGGUUGUAAACCGCUUUCGCCUGUGACGAAGCGUGAGUGACGGUAAUGGGUAAAGAAGCACCGGCUAACUACGUG
rnacentral:rRNA from 1 species